rnacentral:misc_RNA from 1 species
AAUAGGUCACAUCUUAAAAAAGCUCUUUGAAAAGUAGAUAAACAAAGGUUAGAAAAU